CCAAGAAAGUUUGCCUCUCUCUCCCAGCUUUCCACAAGUUCUUAAGGGCCCGAAAGUAAAUGGUGAGAAAUACUUUUCAGAUAGAGUAUUUAUCGGCAUCUUUCACUUAUCCUUGAGUAAUAAACAUAGGAAUGAAGACUGAAACUACUGAAACUAGCCUGAAGUACCGAAGAAUAAAAGCUCAGCAGGGCGGUUUAUUCUACCUCUGCCUUAGUUGCUUUCAUGACAAAAUACUGACAGAAACCAAGUUACUGAAGAGGGCUUCAUUUUCAUUCAUCUUGAGGGAAUAGUACUACAAUGUAGGAAAGGCUUGGUGAUGAGAUCAGCUUCAGCUGGAGGCAACAGGAGCUGGAGGCGAUUGGUGGCCUCCUGUCUGCAGUCAGGAGGCAGACAGAGAAAUGCUCAGCUGGCUCCUCCCAACUCAAUUUUGUUUGUUUUUCUAGACAGGCUUUAACAGUCCUGGCUGUGCUUGAACUCACCUUGUAGACCAGGCUGGACUGAACGCAUAGAGAUCGGCCUGCCUCUGCUGGAAUUAAAGGCAUGCACCACCAUGCCCAGCCCUUUUUCCUUUUUAUUCCUGCUCAAGAAUUGGUGCUUCACACAUUAAGGGAAGUUCUUCCCUCUUCGGUGAAACCUCUCUGGAAACCUCCACCAUACUUUUGCAGUUCUAUAUGCUUUCAAAUCCAGGAAGAGUGGCCACCACACCUGCUACUCUCCUAUAUUCAAGGACCCCUCCUAGCCAGACUUCAGAGGAGGCCUCGGAGGAAACAGCACCCCCCAUCACACUGAGAACAUUGGCCCUGAAGGUUUGAGAGAGAGGGAUAAAGAGGAGAAGCAAAGAAGCUUGAUGUAAGCUGUCCCUCAAAACUGGAGAAAACCAACUUUCUCUAAACUAAUCCUUCAUGAAGUUCUCAGAGCUUGGAAACACAAUAAACACAGCCCUUGGUGCAGCUUGUCAGUAA